GGCAUCUAUUUCUUUGUAUCUGCAUAUCUCUUCUUAUAGAGAUUCAGACAAAAUCUGCCAUAUGAUGAAGUUUCUUUCCAAUUUUUUUACAUGCUGUUCCUCAUGCAGUUUGAAUGUAUGUCUUUAUUAAUUAACAAGAGCUUAUGAAAGGCAGAAAGAAAAUCCAAGAACAAAGGAGAUGAGUAUGAAACUAAGGUACAGAGGCUUGAGAACUGCUAGAAAGAAAGAAAACAGCCAGGAAAGAAGAAAAGCAAGCUCUCAGUAGUGUUAAAGUGGGGGAGAAAGAAAUAAGGUUUGGGGAGGACACCACUUCCAGCAAGCCAAGUUUUCUUGGCUGAAGAGGAGCUGUUCUUCAUCUUCAGCUAAGCCCAGUUUGUAUUUAACAACCUAAUUUUUCUUGCUUAACAACCACAGCUCUCCAUCUCAGCCCUUGGCCCUGUGUUAAAUGCAGUUUGUUGCGUGCUUUCCAGCAUGUUUGCUGCAGCCUGAGGCUCUGCAUUUUGACCACACUCUGAUGAGCCCUUUUGACCUUCCCAGCAUCAUUGCAGACAAUGGCUGUUCUGCACAAAAGAGAGCUGAGAGAUGUAGAUCUGGAGAUAAAAGUUACGUUUCAAUAUUCACCACAAAUACUGACACAAGAAAUGAGGAGAAAUUGGAAAAAUACAAUUCUAACAUGAAAAGAGGAAUAAAGACAUUGAGACAUAUCUUCAUGUUGACAGGACUGUUUUUAUUACUUAUUACAAGACCCAGGAGUGUGCUUAGGACUUCAGAGAACAAAUUGGAAUAGCAGAUCUCCACCCUGAGCAGCGCAUAGCCCAGGAGAAUUAAGAAAACAUUAAUGCACAGGAGGCCAAAUUUUGUUCAAAACAGCCAUGGUUUAAGAAUGAGUAUUUGAAAGUCAUCUUUUCCUUGGCAUUUUGAAUAACAAGUUCAGUGAGAUAAAGCACAAUGAAGAUCUUUUGAAGAAGCAUCUGGAAUUCAUCUGUGUAAAGAAACACCUGGCAAUGCCCAUGGGGACUCAGAGAUGAGAAGGCAGCUGGACCAGAAGGUAAGAAAUCAACACGAGUUUCAGCCUCAACUCUCAGUGGUGUCACACAGCACUGUGGAAAAUAACUGCUCCGCAUCCCAGGACAGCAGCGCAUAGAAAGGUCCAUUUCUUAUUUGCUAGGAAAGUGAGUGACUGGCUCCCUGGAGGGUUGAUUCUUGAAUGUAUAUCUUACAGAUAUAUCCCUUAUAGAUCAUAACCUCUCUGUACCUUCACAGCACUGUUAAUAUGCAUGAAAUUCAGUGUGCUUUAGGGGAGUAGAGUUCUCACUGUGUUGCAAGCUGGUGUGUAUUUAGAGGUGAAACUGGUGCUAGGGAGUUCACAGAUUCUCUUUUGGUUUCAUUUCCAGUGACUGCUUUGUUCCUCCAGUGAACAGCAUACAAGCACUGCCUUUUUCUGAUGGACUGUUGGAGGUGGACUUAAUAAAAUUCUUUCACUGUACAUCAGCUUAUCCCAAAAAGAAAUUAGAAGAUACUCUUUACUUUUAGUAUAAGGAGUGAACAGCACCCACACAAAAGAAAGAUGAAAAGGAUUUAAUAAAGUAUGUUUUACAGUACCCUCUACUCAACAGAAUCACAAAAUCAUGGGAUUGCAGUGACUCUGUCAUCACUGGAUUUCAGCAGAAGUGUGGCACAUCCCAGGAUAGAUUCCACCACUGUGGAAGCACAGCCCUCAGGGUUCCCUAGGGUUACUCUUGAACACGUGUAAAUCAGCCUCCAACUCUUCUUGUUAGUAGACUUGGAGCCCAACUUUCGCCAUUUCGCCCUCACUCAGUGGAAGAAUGAACUCAGCUGAUCUUCAGAAUAGUGCUGUGCUCCAAAUCACAGCCCUGAGCUGAUCCUGCUCUCCAGCUCCUCCUGAUGCUCAUUCCUGGAGCACUCUACAGCCAGCCAGAAGUCCAUUUCCCUGCAUGAUUCACAAAUUCCUUUGAGACCAUGCAGGACUUUGAUACCAUCAUUCAUUUUUUUUUUCUUUUUAGUUUGAUAAAGAAUGAGGAAGUUGCUCCAAUGUCACUUUUGCACCCCUUUUUGUGGUAUUUGUCCAUUCUGCUGGCAGAAAGCAGAUUGAGCAAAUAUGCAUGUCAAGAUAUUACAGGUAGACCUUGACUUCAUAGAAAUGAAUUGAUUGAUAGAAAAAUUGGCAAAACUGGCAGUCAUGGCAUCAGAAUCCUCUCAUGGAGAAAGUGAUAUAAAGGUUAAAUAUCCUGUAAUAAUGAAGUGUAUACUCCUUCAAAACAUCCUUCUAUUUGAUCUCAAAAAUUGGACCUUUGGUGAAAAUACAAGCCAUGAAAUGAAUGAAGGUGAAGAAUAACCAGCAGAAAUACCAAGGGAGAGGCACAAUUUCAGUAUAAAUCACAGAAUUUACCUUGGAAAGGAUGCAAGCACAAUCCCUAGAAGUAGUGCAGAUUUGUGAACUCAACAUUGAAUUCACCUCCCUUUAAACUCUAGGUGAGUUGGGAAUAUGAAUAACACAAUGUCAUGUGAGAUGGGGAAGUAAAUGAAACCUGGAAAGCAGCCAAGUGGGGAAAAAAAAUAAAAGAACAAAGAAAAGGAGAAAGUUUACUGCUCUGUUUGCAAUGGCUGUUGACAAAAAUGCUACCUCGAAUAGUUACACCUUCAAAAGAAGGCUUGAAC
ensembl:lncRNA